rnacentral:tRNA from 1 species
GCCUCAGUAGCUCAGUGGUAGAGCGAUAGCCUUGUAAGCUGUAGGUCGGGGGUUCAAGUCCCCCCUGAGGCU